UACCAGGCUGAAAGGCGAAUGGCAAUGGCGCUGAGCUCGGAGCCCUUGUCGGAUCGCUCGGUCAAGCUAGCGGUGUUACUAGCCUUCGCUUCGGGAGUGGUGGUGGGAUGGCAGGCGAACAGAGCGCGGAGGUAUUACCUCAAGUGGCGGAAGCGACGGCUGCAGGACCAACUUGCAGCCACUCAGAAUAAGUUGGAACUCGCAUGAAGCGCUGAAUGCAAAUAGAACCCUCAAAAAGAACUACAAUCAAGUUUCCAUAUUUGAUGGAUAUUAAUGGACUUCUUUAAAAAAUCUUCAUGCAUAAACUUGGUUUGGAGACAUCUAUGAAAUUGCCAUCUCAUUUCAUGGGACUGGUAUUUACAAAAAAGUUUGACAUCUGAAGAAAUAAGUCAUCUGUCUGAUGAAACGUGUCUAUAUGAACAGCGUAACAUUCCCUACUUGGACAAAUAAGGAUGUUUUAUGAAUUGGAUCUUCUUAACAAAGUUUAAAUAGAAAAUAAACAAGUGCAAUGCAA